AUUUAGACCCGACAGUAGCGGCAUCCUUUUGUGCCGACUUUUCGGCACAAAAGAUAUAGCGAAUGGCGGGACAACUG
rfam:Flavobacterium fryxellicola strain DSM 16209 FBFR10, whole genome shotgun sequence.